UGGAAGGCUACGAAAGAGUAUUCAAACU
rnacentral:piRNA from 1 species